rnacentral:rRNA from 1 species
CUACGGGGUGCAGCAGUAGGGAAUCUUAGACAAUGGGGGAAACCCUGAUCUAGCCAUGCCGCGUGAGUGAUGAAGGCCUUAGGGUUGUAAAGCUCUUUCGCUGGGGAAGAUAAUGACGGUACCCAGUAAAGAAACCCCGGCUAACUCCGUGCCAGCAGCCGCGGUAAUACGGAGGGGGUUAGCGUUGUUCGGAAUUACUGGGCGUAAAGCGCGCGUAGGCGGGCUAUUAAGUCAGGGGUGAAAUCCCGGGGCUCAACCCCGGAACUGCCUUUGAUACUGGUAGUCUUGAGUUCGAGAGAGGUGAGUGGAAUUCCGAGUGUAGAGGUGAAAUUCGUAGAUAUUCGGAGGAACAUCAGUGGCGAAGGCGACUCACUGGCUCGAUACUGACGCUGAGGUGCGAAAGUGUGGGGAGCAAACAGGAUUAGAUACCCCUGUAGUC